GGAUGCGAUCAUACCAGCACUAAAGCUCCGGAUCCCAUCAGAACUCCGAAGUUAAGCGUGCUUGGGCGAGAGUAGUACUAGGAUGGGUGACCUCCUGGGAAGUCCUCGUGUUGCAUCCC
rnacentral:rRNA from 1 species